CAAUAAGCGGAGGAAAAGAAACUAACAAGGAUUCCCCUAGUAACUGCGAGUGAAGCGGGAAAAGCUCAAAUUUAAAAUCUGGUAGUCUCUGGCUGCCCGAGUUGUAAUCUAGAGAAGUGUUAUCCGCGUUGGACCGUGUACAAGUCUCCUGGAAUGGAGCGUCAUAGAGGGUGAGAAUCCCGUCUUUGACACGGACUACCAGUGCUUUGUGAUGCGCUCUCAAAGAGUCGAGUUGUUUGGGAAUGCAGCUCAAAAUGGGUGGUAAAUUCCAUCUAAAGCUAAAUAUUGGCGAGAGACCGAUAGCGAACAAGUACCGUGAGGGAAAGAUGAAAAGAACUUUGGAAAGAGAGUUAAACAGUACGUGAAAUUGCUGAAAGGGAAACGCUUGAAGUCAGUCGCGUUGUUUGGGGAUCAACCUUGCUUUUGCUGGGUGUACUUUCCAGAUGACGGGUCAGCAUCAAUUUUGACCGUUGGAUAAAGUGUAGGGAAAUGUGGCAUCAUUUUGGUGUGUUAUAGUCUCUGCUCGCAUACAACGGUUGGGAUUGAGGAACUCAGUACGCCGCAAGGCCGGGAAUUUAUUCUACGUUCGUACUUAGGAUGCUGGCAUAAUGGCUUUAAUCGACCCGUCUUGAAACACGGACCAAGGAGUCUAACAUGCCUGCGAGUGUUUGGGUGGAAAACCCGAGCGCGUAAUGAAAGUGAAAGUUGAGAUCCCUGUCGUGGGGAGCAUCGACGCCCGGACCAGACCUUUUGUGACGGAUCUGCGGUAGAGCAUGUAUGUUGGGACCCGAAAGAUGGUGAACUAUGCCUGAAUAGGGUGAAGCCAGAGGAAACUCUGGUGGAGGCUCGUAGCGAUUCUGACGUGCAAAUCGAUCGUCAAAUUUGGGUAUAGGGGCGAAAGACUAAUCGAACCAU
rnacentral:rRNA from 1 species